GGGGUGGUACAGGUAGGUGUGUUUUUAACCAUAUAUGUAUGUACUUAUGAAUUUAAUUUUCUACUUUAAUUCCUUAUUGGUUUCCCAUUAAUGUGAAGCUCGUCAUACAUUAUGUGUUCUCUGGAGCUGCAUGAACUUGUGGGUUAUGCUAUCAUAGUGGCUACUGACAAAUAUCUUAAACUGUUGCAUCCUUAUGAUUUGAUAUGACAUGGCAAAGAUAGUUUGAUCAGACAUUCAUGCAGAGAAUUCUGUCACAUAAUGGGACCCUUUUUGAUACAUUUUCUCGGGAAUUGAAAAGUGUUUUGUUCUUCGAGCUGUGAUAUUUAAAGUUAUCUGAGCAUAAGGGUUACAGUUUUAAUAGUUAUGUUUUGUUCCUUGCAGGGUCCAUUAAUUAAUGAAUC
rnacentral:misc_RNA from 1 species